AGGACGAACGCUGGCGGCGCGCCUAAACAUGCAAGUCGAACGAGAAGCCCGGGCUUGCCCGGGUGGACAGUGGCGAACGGGUGAGUAACACGUGAGGAACCUGCCCCGAAGACCGGGACAACAUCGGGAAACCGUUGCUAAUACCGGAUGCCCUCGAAGGAUCGCAUGGUCCAUCGAGGAAAUGGAUUCCGCUUCGGGAUGGCCUCGCGGCCUAUCAGCUUGUUGGUGAGGUAAUGGCUCACCAAGGCUUCGACGGGUAGCUGGUCUGAGAGGAUGUCCAGCCACACUGGGACUGAGACACGGCCCAAACUCCUACGGGAGGCAGCAGUUAGGAAUCUUGCGCAAUGGACGAAAGUCUGACGCAGCGACGCCGCGUGCGGGAUGAAGGCCCUCGGGUUGUAAACCGCUUUCAGCAGGGACGAAAUUGACGGUACCUGCAGAAGAGCCCCGGCAACUACGUGCCAGCAGCCGCGGUAA
rnacentral:rRNA from 1 species